AGAACGAACGCUGGCGGCAUGCCUAACACAUGCAAGUCGAACGCUCUUGAGGCUUCGGUUUCAAGGGAGUGGCGCACGGGUGAGUAGCGCGUGGGAACCUGCCCUGUUGUGGGGGAUAACCGAGGGAAACUUCGGCUAAUACCGCAUGCGCCCGGGGAAACCCGGGGAAAGAUUUAUCGCAGCAGGAGGGGCCCGCGUCGGAUUAGGUAGUUGGUAGGGUAACGGCCUACCAAGCCUUUGAUCCGUAGCUGGUCUGAGAGGAUGAUCAGCCACACUGGGACUGAGACACGGCCCAGACUCCUACGGGAGGCAGCAGUGGGGAAUAUUGGACAAUGGGCGCAAGCCUGAUCCAGCAAUGCCGCGUGAGUGAUGAAGGCCUUAGGUUGUAAAGCUCUUUCGCCCGCGACGAUGAUGACGGUAGCGGGAGAAGAACGCCCCGGCUAACUUCGUGCCAGCAGCCGC
rnacentral:rRNA from 1 species